CGUGUUGAUUGAUCAUCUUUUUAAACAUGAAAGUUCAGCUCCAUCAACGACCCCCACAGUAACUAGUACUAUUCAUAAAACUGUUUAUACCCUCUCCAAUUUUCAUGACUGCAACCAACCAUGUCUACUUUGUUACGUAAGGUAUGGGACUCACUAUCAACACGUUCGAAUUCAAUCAGAUGAUGAUGAUGAUGUAUAUACAAACAGCUUCAACUGGAGAAUUUGAUCGAAUACCUUUGGAUAUUUUCAUUCAGAUUUUGAAGAUUUUAGGGCCAAAAGAGUCUGCAAAGAUGAGUUUGGUGCGUAAAUCAUGCAAGUUCAUUGCUUGUGAUAAUCGACUAUGAAUUUAUUUUCUUCAAAAUCAAAAUGAGCCUUGGGAUUCUACUUUCUUUGCUGAAACUCAUUUGAGAUCUGGUCCUCUUCGGUGGGUCGGGCUAUUGCAAAUUUUGUUGGAGUAAGUAUAGUGCUCCGUCAGGGAGAUCAGCGACAUUCUUGGAGUUUGGUAACAUUGAAUCUCCAAUGUAUUCUAGAUUAAGACAUUCCUUUUCAACAAUAUACACCAGGAUGCAGGUGAAAACUUCAACACAGCCAAUUAUUGUGUCCAUUCCGAUUUGCCAUUAUGACGGUCAGUUUCUAUUUCCUAAAAAAUAUCAAAUUUCUAUUCUAACCUAUUAAUGACUCAAUUUGUUGUUUAGAGGGAGAAUACCGUUUAACAAUAUAUGCAUACAUGUCCGUAGUUACUUGGUGAAUCAGCUCAUGCAACUACUAUAUCUCACUCAAUUGAAUCUUUAUCUAUUAAAAAGUGAUGCUUAAGGGUCGUUCGGUAGGAGGUAUAAGGUGGGAUAUCUCAUGGAUAAGUUUGUGAUAUCCCAUGGAUAAAAUUUAUACCAUGUUCUGUUGAUGGUAUAAAUUUAUCCCGGGACUAAUUUAUACCAUCAACAAAACAUGUUAUAAAGAUAAUACCAAGUUUAGUCUAGGUAUAA